UACGUAGGGUGCAAGCGUUAUCCGGAAUUAUUGGGCGUAAAGAGCUCGUAGGCGGUUUGUCGCGUCUGCUGUGAAAACUGGAGGCUCAACCUCCAGCCUGCAGUGGGUACGGGCAGACUAGAGUGCGGUAGGGGAGAUUGGAAUUCCUGGUGUAGCGGUGGAAUGCGCAGAUAUCAGGAGGAACACCGGUGGCGAAGGCGGGUCUCUGGGCCGUAACUGACGCUGAGGAGCGAAAGCGUGGGGGAGCGAACAGG
rnacentral:rRNA from 1 species